rnacentral:rRNA from 1 species
AGAGUUUGAUCAUGGCUCAGGAUGAACGCUAGCGGCAGGCUUAACACAUGCAAGUCGAGGGGUAUAGGUUUUCGGACCUAGAGACCGGCGCACGGGUGCGUAACGCGUAUGCAAUCUACCUUUUGCAGAGGGAUAGCCCAGAGAAAUUUGGAUUAAUACCUCAUAGUAUAUGGACUUCGCAUGGAGACCAUAUUAAAGUUCCAACGGCAAAAGAUGAGCAUGCGUCCCAUUAGCUAGAUGGUAAGGUAACGGCUUACCAUGGCAACGAUGGGUAGGGGUCCUGAGAGGGAGAUCCCCCACACUGGUACUGAGACACGGACCAGACUCCUACGGGAGGCAGCAGUGAGGAAUAUUGGACAAUGGGCGCAAGCCUGAUCCAGCCAUGCCGCGUGCAGGAUGACGGUCCUAUGGAUUGUAAACUGCUUUUGUACAGGAAGAAACACUGGUUCGUGAACCAGCUUGACGGUACUGUAAGAAUAAGGAUCGGCUAACUCCGUGCCAGCAGCCGCGGUAAUACGGAGGAUCCAAGCGUUAUCCGGAAUCAUUGGGUUUAAAGGGUCCGUAGGCGGUUUAGUAAGUCAGUGGUGAAAGCCCAUCGCUCAACGGUGGAACGGCCAUUGAUACUGCCAGACUUGAAUUAUUAGGAAGUAACUAGAAUAUGUAGUGUAGCGGUGAAAUGCUUAGAGAUUACAUGGAAUAC